GCCAGUUUGGCUCAGUGGUUAGAGUGUCAGCCUGAGAACUGAAGGGUGUCAGGUCUGAUUCCGGUAAAGGGCA
rnacentral:tRNA from 1 species